CAGCCAGUCCGUCUGUCUGGUGGAAGAUGAGAUGGAAACGAAACCAGGAAUACACACACAGGACAUAGAGCAAAAUGGCAUCUUCACCGUGUCCAUCCAUUGCAGCUUCAGGUACACCUGGGAGGGCACAGAGGUGAAUAAGAGGGCCUGGCAGACGAUAGAGAAGAGGCCCGAGAGAGAGAGCGACAGAGAUGCCGAGGUUUGCCUGAGCCAAUCUUUGUUGUUUACGUAGAGAUAAUAAGAGACUCAUCAGACAAUGAUCAACUUCUACCAACACCAUGAUCCAAUGUCCCAUUCCAUCGCUUUUAUGGUCAAUAACUCUCCCUGCAAAUUAAAUAAAAUCAUCACUCCUGCUGAGUGAGUAGUACCAUGUGAAUAAAGAAUACUUUCUCC
ensembl:lncRNA